AACGAACGCUGGCGGCAGGCUUACACAUGCAAGUCGAACGGCAGCACGGGAGCAAUCCUGGUGGCGAGUGGCGAACGGGUGAGUAAUAUAUCGGAACGUGCCCAGUCGUGGGGGAUAACGUAGCGAAAGCUACGCUAAUACCGCAUACGAUCUAUGGAUGAAAGCGGGGGAUCGCAAGACCUCGCGCGAUUGGAGCGGCCGAUAUCAGAUUAGGUAGUUGGUGAGGUAAAGGCUCACCAAGCCGACGAUCUGUAGCUGGUCUGAGAGGACGACCAGCAACACUGGGACUGAGACACGGCCCAGACUCCUACGGGAGGCAGCAGUGGGGAAUUUUGGACAAUGGGCGCAAGCCUGAUCCAGCAAUGCCGCGUGCAGGAUGAAGGCCUUCGGGUUGUAAACUGCUUUUGUACGGAACGAAACGGCGAGCUCUAAUACAGUUUGCUAAUGACGGUACCGUAAGAAUAAGCACCGGCUAACUACGUGCCAGCCGCCGCCGUAA
rnacentral:rRNA from 1 species